GGGGCAGUAGCUCGGUCGUAGAGCCCCCGAUUCCUAUGCGAGGAGACCUGGGUUCAAUUCCCGGCUACUUCC
rnacentral:tRNA from 1 species